rnacentral:rRNA from 1 species
UACGUAGGGGGCGAGCGUUGUCCGGAAUUAUUGGGCGUAAAGAGCGUGUAGGCGGUUCGGUAAGUCUGCCGUGAAAACCCAGGGCUCAACCCUGGGCGUGCGGUGGAUACUGCCGGGCUAGAGUGUGGUAGAGGCGAGUGGAAUUCCCGGUGUAGCGGUGAAAUGCGCAGAUAUCGGGAGGAACACCAGUAGCGAAGGCGGCUCGCUGGGCCAUACCUGACGCUGAGACGCGAAAGCGUGGGGAGCAAACAGG